rnacentral:rRNA from 1 species
GACGAACGCUGGCGGCGUGCUUAACACAUGCAAGUCGAACGGAAAGGCCCUGCUUUUGUGGGGUGCUCGAGUGGCGAAAGGGUGAGUAACACGUGAGUAACCUGCCCUUGACUUUGGGAUAACUUCAGGAAACUGGGGCUAAUACCGGAUAGGAGCUCCUGCUGCAUGGUGGGGGUUGGAAAGUUUCGGCGGUUGGGGAUGGACUCGCGGCUUAUCAGCGUGUUGGUGGGGUAGUGGCUUACCAAGGCUUUGACGGGUAGCCGGCCUGAGAGGGUGACCGGCCACAUUGGGACUGAGAUACGGCCCAGACUCCUACGGGAGGCAGCAGUGGGGAAUAUUGCACAAUGGGCGGAAGCCUGAUGCAGCAACGCCGCGUGCGGGAUGACGGCCUUCGGGUUGUAACCCGCUUUCGCCUGUGACGAAGCGUGAGUGACGGUAAUGGGUAAAGAAGCACCGGCUAACUACGUG